rnacentral:rRNA from 1 species
GACGAACGCUGGCGGCGUGCUUAACACAUGCAAGUCGAACGCUGAAGCUCAGCUUUUGUUGGGUGGAUGAGUGGCGAACGGGUGAGUAACACGUGAGUAACCUGCCUCCUUCUUUGGGAUAACGCCCGGAAACGGGUGCUAAUACUGGAUAUUCACUGGUCUUCGCCUGGGGGUUGGUGGAAAGGGUUGUUCUGGUGGGGGAUGGGCUCGCGGCCUAUCCGCUUGUUGGUGGGGUGAUGGCCUACCAAGGCUUUGACGGGUAGCCGGCCUGAGAGGGUGACCGGGCACAUAGGGACGGAGCUACGGCCCAGGCUACUCCGCGGGGCAGAAGUGUGGACUAUGGCCCAAUGGGCGACAGACUGAUGCCGCGUCGGCGCGGGAGGGAUGGGGGCCGUAGGGUUGUGAUCCUCUUUAGCUCAUGGUGUGGCCGCAACUAUGGUUGUGGUGAGGGUAGUGGGUAAAGAAGCGCCGGCUAGCUACGUG